CCCGCAGCGGCAGCGGGCUCCUCCGCUGCCCUACCCUCGCUAGGCGGGUCUCCUACCUGCUCAGCAGCCGCCUGCUGCUUCGCCGAACCCGGCGGGGCCGGCCCGGCCCUGUCUGGGCACAUUUUUAUUAUGUGGCCCUCCUGACCACAACCAAAACAUUUCAUGCUAGCAGAUGUUGCAAAAAGCACAUAGUCAAAAUCAUCUAAUCUAACAUGAAACCUCAAGCUUAGCUCCUCGUCACGUCGAUUUAGAAUCAUGAACAGUUGUCUCCUGUGAGAGACAACAUGUUUCACCCAGACGGUACUUUUUUAAUCGGUGAAACCACCUUUCCGUGUCGAGACAGCUCUUUAAUCAAAAACUCAUCACUAAUGAACGGAGGAACAUUUGACAGUGUUACUUUGGUUGCAGGCAAAGUUAACGGCGACACCUGUGAAAACAAGCCGUUCACUGAAACGCCUACCUCCACCAACUGUUGAGCUUGCUCAACCUUCUCGACAAACAAGACGACAGCUCCAGUCAUGCGAGCUGCCGACUUGAUGGACCCAUGUCCAAUCACCGCUCCAACCGCCAGACAAACUUCCUCCACGCUGCACGGAGAACCAGCGCCCACCUUGACGCCGUUCUUCCGAGUCAGCGUGGAGAAAGCCCCACCAUGGCGUCGUCAGACGCCGGCCAGCCAGGCACGCCUGACGGCCACACCCGAACCCAAACAAAAACCCCUUAAAACACUGAGAUACAAGAUAACAC